AUUGAACGCUGGCGGCAGGCCUAACACAUGCAAGUCGAACGAGUGGCGGACGGGUGAGUAAUGUCUGGGAAACUGCCUGAUGGAGGGGGAUAACUACUGGAAACGGUAGCUAAUACCGCAUACCAUCAGAUGUGCCCAGAUGGGAUUAGCUUGUUGGUGGGGUAACGGCUCACCAAGGCGACGAUCCCUAGCUGGUCUGAGAGGAUGACCCGCCACAAUGGGACUUAGACACUGUCCAGACCUCUUCGGGAGGCAAGAGGGGGGAAUAUUUGACCAUGGGCGGCAGCCUGAUGCAGCCAUGCCGCGUGUAUGAAGAAGGCCUUCGGGUUGUAAAGUACUUUCAGCGGGGAGGCGUUACCCGCAGAAGAAGCACCGGCUAACUCCGUGCCAGCAGCCGCGGUAAUUC
rnacentral:rRNA from 1 species